UUAACUCGCACACCAAAAUGACAAGGGCUCUGUUUGGUGUGCGAGUGUUGUGAUUUUGUUUAUCAAGUUCUUAACAAUCUUGCACUGGUUUUCUCCAACUCUCCGACGAUUCGAUUGCCUUCUAAUCUACUUUUCAACUGUGUUGACACUGGGUUUCAAUUCGGGGACUAGGGUUUGAUCAUACGCGUCAAGUUUAAUGUCUAAUUAAAUCGAAAUGGAUCCUAGAUACACAGGAGAGAUCUUAAGCCACUUGGAGAAGCAGGAGGAGCUCCUUAUGGAUGCCUAUAGAUCUAUCUCCCACGAAGUGCAUAAACUCCAGGUGCUUUCUUCAAUCUUUAAUUCAUUUUUUUGAUUACCUUCUUGUUUAUAUCUUCAAUUUAAUUUUGCUUGCGCUGCUCGAAUCUUUCUUAAAAAAAAAAAGAGAGAGAGAGAGAA